rnacentral:rRNA from 1 species
UACGAAGGGGGCUAGCGUUGUUCGGAAUUACUGGGCGUAAAGGGCGCGUAGGCGGUGUGUCAAGUCAGGCGUGAAAUCCCCGGGCCUAACCUGGGAACUGCAUUUGUGACUGCAUGGCUAGAGUUUGUCAGAGGGGGGUGGAAUUCCACGUGUAGCAGUGAAAUGCGUAGAUAUGUGGAGGAACACCGAUGGCGAAGGCAGCCCCCUGGGAUGUGACUGACGCUCAUGUACGAAAGCGUGGGGAGCAAACAGG